GUGGCUGUGGCUCAGAGGUAGAGCGCUCGUCUAGCAUGUGCAAGGCCCUGGGUUCCUCAGCACCACA
rnacentral:tRNA from 1 species